rnacentral:rRNA from 1 species
GACGAACGCUGGCGGCGUGCUUAACACAUGCAAGUCGAACGGAAAGGCCCUGCUUUUGUGGGGUGCUCGAGUGGCGAACGGGUGAGUAACACGUGAGUAACCUGCCCUUGACUUUGGGAUAACUUCAGGAAACUGGGGCUAAUACCGGCUAGGAGCUCCUGCUGCAUGGUGGGGGUUGGAAAGUUUCGGCGGUUGGGGAUGGACUCGCGGCUUAUCAGCUUGUUGGUGGGGUAGUGGCUUACCAAGGCUUUGACGGGUAGCCGGCCUGAGAGGGUGACCGGCCCCAUUGGGACUGAGAUACGGCCCAGACUCCUACGGGAGGCAGCAGUGGGGAAUAUUGCACAAUGGGCGGAAGCCUGAUGCAGCAACGCCGCGUGCGGGAUGACGGCCUUCGGGUUGUAAACCGCUUUCGCCUGUGACGAAGCGUGAGUGACGGUAAUGGGUAAAGAAGCACCGGCUAACUACGUG